UGGACAGCGAGAUGAAUGCAUGCAUGGCCUGAAGGGUCGCAGAGGUGAGUGAGCUCAUCGGAGGUUGACAGAAGAGAGUGAGCACCCAUGGUGUUUUCUUGCAUGGAAAGGGAGAGACAGAGUCCAUGCUCCAAGCUAUGCGUGCUCGCUCCUCUAUCUGUCAGCCACCACCGGUCGAUGCCGUCUUCCGGUUGUACUUUCCUUCCUUGCUACUAACCCUACACCUUGAUUCAUUAUUUGACUUGCAAUGAAGAACAGAUGGCCGAAGAUCACUGGAACUGUUCUUUUCUUACUGCAACAUUUUGAGCAGUACUACGACGGGCUUUAUGAUUCUUAGAAGUUGAUCGGUUCUGUCUCAAAUCAAGCUUGGUUGGGAUCAGGAUUUUUAUGAUCAACCCACUCAGAUUCUAUGCGAUCUAUUGUCUCGAACUUAUCUUUGACAUCAAAGACCGCUGUUUUCAUCUUCAAGCCUAACUAAGCCCUGUUGAGUUUUGUGUAUGUCUAAGAAAACUAGCAAUAGAAGAAACCAUCUGGCGACCUUUUGAUGACAAAAUAGUUGUCUUGGUGGCUAAAUCUUUCCAUCUUUUUUUUUCCAUCAUAUUUGUUGGGGUUGAAAAUUUGAAGCCUAUUUCUUGGUCAAACUGGACAGUCUCCGUAGCGGUUGACCUUUGAGAUUCCAAGUCAAAUCCUGUUGACAAUAACGAAAACCACAAGGACAACACACAAAACCUGUGUGCUACGGGACAGGACAGAGAUUUUUGGAUUCGGUCUGGCCUUGAGAGAAGAAAAGGAAGAAGAAGAAGAAAAAGUGGUAUAUCCAUCCAAUUCCCCCAUUUCCUCUAUCGUUUUCAUCCUGUUGGAGGCGAAGGAUCUAAAAACGGGCAGCAGAUGGUGGAAGGCGAUUCAAAGGUGACGCCUUUCUUCUCUCUCCAUUUAUAGAAGAGAAAAUUCCGACGAGUUCUUAUCGAGCUUCUCAGUUCGUGGUCGGGUGCUUGCCAGUGUAUGCAACAGCGCAGGCGGCGGGUUCUUCUUCUUCUUCUUUGCGUGAGGAGUCGGCUGAUUGCGUUGGUCGAUAGGGCGUCGGGAGACAGAUGGAGUUGCUGAAGAAGUUGAAAUCGGAAGGAACGCAUGCGAAUGAGACAAUGGUUUCCCCUUAUCAAAGAAUAAGAAUGCUACAGAACAACAAGCACUCGGACGCGUAAGAACGGAGAUGAAGAAGAGGAAAACAGAGGAAUCGAAGAUUGAAGGCCGGAAGCGAGAUCGCGCAGAUUGAGGUUGUCUUGCGGCUUGUUGAUGCUCAUUCGUCGCUCACCGAUGCCGUUCCCCUUCCUCCUCUUCGGGAUCGAGAUCGACAUCGAGAUGCACGGAGCAAAGAACCUAAACAGCGUUAACGCUAUACCACAAAGGGGAGGGUCGAGGGAAAGAAGACUCAGAUGGGAGAUAUUUAUAGCAUAUAACGUUUGAAAUUAACGGUAUACGUCUCGACAGCGUAUAACGUGCAUGCCGAAAGUUUUAUUUGCUGUAACAUAUAUCAGUGCGUCACAAGCACGUGCUGUUCACGUUAAAAUGCACGUACAUGGAGUUCAUUCAA